UUGUAAUUUGCAGAGGAUGCUUUUGGCGAGGUGCCUUCCGAGUUCCCUGGAACGGGACGCCAUAGAGGGUGAGAGCCCCGUCUGGUUGGAUGCCGAGCCUCUGUAAAGCUCCUUCGAC
rnacentral:rRNA from 1 species